CAGAGAAUAGUUUAAUGAAAAUUUUAAUUUUGGAGAUUAAAGAUAGAAUGAUAUAUUUUUUCUCUGA
rnacentral:tRNA from 1 species